GCCACUGAAGUUAAUAGUUGUCUGCUGUCUUUAUCUUCUUAUGAUUCACAUCUUGUCUUUUGCACUUAUAGUGAGCUUUUAAGAUUUCUGAUAAUUGCUGAUGCACUGUGAAUUAUUGAUUCAGAGCUGAAGCAGAGCAAUCUUAUCUAAGUUUUUAUUCAAUGAAAACAGAAGUGAAGUUACAAAGAUACCUCACUAUAUAUUCUUAUCAAGAUUGAUUCUUUUGUACUCAAACUUAAAGCACAGUACUGGGCUUCAUAACAGAGUAUGUAUAUUAACU
rnacentral:sRNA from 2 species